GGAGGGUGUAGCUCAGUGGUAGAGUGCGUGCUUAGCAUGCACGAGGCCCUGGGUUCCAUCCCCAGUACCUCCA
rnacentral:tRNA from 1 species